rnacentral:rRNA from 1 species
CCUACGGGAGGCAGCAGUAGGGAAUCUUCGGCAAUGGACGGAAGUCUGACCGAGCAACGCCGCGUGAGUGAAGAAGGUUUUCGGAUCGUAAAGCUCUGUUGUAAGAGAAGAACGAGUGUGAGAGUGGAAAGUUCACACUGUGACGGUAUCUUACCAGAAAGGGACGGCUAACUACGUGCCAGCAGCCGCGGUAAUACGUAGGUCCCGAGCGUUGUCCGGAUUUAUUGGGCGUAAAGCGAGCGCAGGCGGUUAGAUAAGUCUGAAGUUAAAGGCUGUGGCUUAACCAUAGUACGCUUUGGAAACUGUUUAACUUGAGUGCAAGAGGGGAGAGUGGAAUUCCUAGUGUAGCGGUGAAAUGCGUAGAGAUUAGGAGGAACACCAGUGGCGAAGGCGGCUUUUUGGCCUGUAACUGACACUGAGGCGCGAAAGCGUGGGGAGCAAACAGGAUUAGAUACCCUGGUAGUCCACGCCGUAAACGAUGAGUGCUAAGUGUUGGUCUCAUAAGAGAUCAGUGCUGCAGCUAACGCAUUAAGCACUCCGCCUGGGGAGUACGCACGCAAGUGUGAAACUCAAAGG